AGAGUUGAUUAUGGCUCAGGAUGAACGCUAGCGACAGGCUUAACACAUGCAAGUCGAGGGGCAGCACGGGAGUAGCAAUACAACUGGUGGCGACCGGCGCACGGGUGAGUAACGCGUAUGCAACCUACCUAUCAGGAGGGGAAUAACCCGGCGAAAGUCGGACUAAUACCGCAUAAAACAGGGGCACCGCAUGGUGAUAUUUGUUAAAGAAAUUCGCUGAUAGAUGGGCAUGCGUUCCAUUAGGUAGUUGGUGAGGUAACGGCUCACCAAGCCGACGAUGGAUAGGGGAACUGAGAGGUUGGUCCCCCACACUGGUACUGAGACACGGACCAGACUCCUACGGGAGGCAGCAGUGAGGAAUAUUGGUCAAUGGGCGAGAGCCUGAACCAGCCAAGUCGCGUGAAGGAAGAAGGAUCUAUGGUUCGUAAACUUCUUUUGCAGGGGAAUAAAGUGCGGGACGUGUCCUGUUUUGUAUGUACCCUGAGAAUAAGGAUCGGCUAACUCCGUGCCAGCAGCCGC
rnacentral:rRNA from 1 species